rnacentral:piRNA from 1 species
UCAUUGUUUUUGCCUAGACACAUCUC